rnacentral:rRNA from 1 species
AACGAACGCUGGCGGCAGGCCUAACACAUGCAAGUCGAACGCCGUAGCAAUACGGAGUGGCAGACGGGUGAGUAACGCGUGGGAACGUGCCCAAAGGUACGGAACAACUCCGGGAAACUGGAGCUAAUACCGUAUGUGCCCGAAAGGGGAAAGAUUCAUCGCCUUUGGAUCGGCCCGCGUCUGAUUAGCUAGUUGGUGGGUAACGGCCCACCAAGGCGACGAUCAGUAGCUGGUCUGAGAGGAUGAUCAGCCACACUGGGACUGAGACACGGCCCAGACUCCUACGGGAGGCAGCAGUGGGGAAUAUUGGACAAUGGGCGCAAGCCUGAUCCAGCCAUGCCGCGUGAGUGAUGAAGGCCUUAGGGUUGUAAAGCUCUUUUGUCCGGGAAGAUAAUGACGGUACCGGAAGAAUAAGCUCCGGCUAACUUCGUG